UACGGAGGGUGCGAGCGUUGUCCGGAAUCACUGGGCGUAAAGGGCGCGUAGGCGGCCUGAUAAGUAGGGGGUGAAAUCCUGCGGCUUAACCGCAGGGCUGCCUUCUAAACUGUCAGGCUAGAGCACAGUAGAGGCAGGUGGAAUUCCCGGUGUAGCGGUGGAAUGCGUAGAGAUCCGGAAGAACACCGGAGGCGAAGGCGGCUGGCUGGACCUGAUCUGACGCUGAGGUGCGAAAGCGUGGGGAGCGAACAGG
rnacentral:rRNA from 1 species